UCGGGUGCUAUACUGCAAGUCGAGCGGACAGAUGGGAGCUUGCUCCCUGAUGUUAGCGGCGGACGGGUGAGUAACACGUGGGUAACCUGCCUGUAAGACUGGGAUAACUCCGGGAAACCGGGGCUAAUACCGGAUGGUUGUCUGAACCGCAUGGUUCAGACAUAAAAGGUGGCUUCGGCUACCACUUACAGAUGGACCCGCGGCGCAUUAGCUAGUUGGUGAGGUAACGGCUCACCAAGGCGACGAUGCGUAGCCGACCUGAGAGGGUGAUCGGCCACACUGGGACUGAGACACGGCCCAGACUCCUACGGGAGGCAGCAGUAGGGAAUCUUCCGCAAUGGACGAAAGUCUGACGGAGCAACGCCGCGUGAGUGAUGAAGGUUUUCGGAUCGUAAAGCUCUGUUGUUAGGGAAGAACAAGUGCCGUUCAAAUAGGGCGGCACCUUGACGGUACCUAACCAGAAAGCCACGGCUAACUACGUGCCAGCAGCCGCGGUAAUACGUAGGUGGCAAGCGUUGUCCGGAAUUAUUGGGCGUAAAGGGCUCGCAGGCGGUUUCUUAAGUCUGAUGUGAAAGCCCCCGGCUCAACCGGGGAGGGUCAUUGGAAACUGGGGAACUUGAGUGCAGAAGAGGAGAGUGGAAUUCCACGUGUAGCGGUGAAAUGCGUAGAGAUGUGGAGGAACACCAGUGGCGAAGGCGACUCUCUGGUCUGUAACUGACGCUGAGGAGCGAAAGCGUGGGGAGCGAACAGGAUUAGAUACCCUGGUAGUCCACGCCGUAAACGAUGAUUGCUAAGUGUUAGGGGGUUCCGCCCCUUACUGCUGCGGUAACGCAUUAAGCACUC
rnacentral:rRNA from 1 species